GCCAUAGGUUAAUGCAAGUGUUUAACAGAUGCUUCGCUAUUAAAAUAUUUCCCCCCAAUACUGAAGAAUCUUAAACCAGCAACCCUAACAGAGAUUGCGAAGAUUUUCAAAGUGGGGCACCUCGAUUUCUCGAAUCUGUGGUGUGGCGAAUAUCCGUGUUCCUCCUGCUUAACUAGCCUGUUUGAAGGCACAGUUCAUUCUCGAGCAAUUCGUCACCUCCUGGGGGUCUUCUCUUCCCGUCUACAGGAGAGUGUGACUUCAGAAAGAACUUCGGAUUGGCCAAGGCAGGUCUGAUUCUAUUUAUUCUAAAGACAGAGUUGGAGAUGGGCUACCAUUGGUGUUGAUUGAGAUGACAAGCAGUCACCUGAGCCCAUACAGCUGGUAAGUAGAACAGUACUGGAGAGAUGGCUCAGCAGUUAAGAGCACUGACUGCUCUUCCAGAGAUCCUGAGUUCAAUUCCCAGCAACCACAUGGUGGCUCACAAACAUCUGUAAUGAGAUCAGGUGCCCUCUU
ensembl:processed_transcript AV026068 expressed sequence AV026068